GCGCCAGCGGUAGAAGUAGAAGCCCAAAAGCUCGAAGCAGCUGCAAGCUGAUGAGUUUUGUGUCAAUGUGACAGGCGUUCUUACUUAACGAGCAAUAGUUACCUGCGUUGAAGGGACUACGUAAUGGUUUGUUUGCGCCCAUGAACCAUCAGACAUUCAUUUCGUGAGUGAUUCCAUCCGAUUCAAGGAAGAAACGUCGUCGUCGCGUUCACCAGGCAGUUAUGGAAACGCUGAGGAGCCAGUAUGGCUGCAAGUGGUUCCCUCUCUCUAAACAUAGAACCUGAGGAUACCAGUUCCCCCAUUUUUCCAAGUAGCCACGGGAAUGCCUAAUAAUUCGUCACUGUGAGCACAUUGUUUCCCAGAGGAUCCACAUCUCAUGGAGGACCCUCAUGAGAGGAAGCUCAAGACACCACCUUUCCGUUUCCAAUGGAAAACCAAGCAAAUGGAGAUGGCUUUACCACAGACAACUAUCCAGGUGGCAGUGGUAACAGCACUUAAAGUGAAGAACUUUGUGGCAUUGGCUCAUCACCUGUACUGGGAAACGAUCGAGGCAUGGACAAACUUCUCAUGGACGUCUAUCCAGGAGCAUUGCCCCCUGGAGUCAAGAUGACACCUGCCUCCAGCCUGUCAAGGAUGCAAGCUACCUCCACAUGAAGCAAGUCAUAGGAUUCCGGGAGUAGAACACUUCCACAUUCCAUUUUUGUGGCAAUCAAGCGUAAACCUUCAAGAACAUCCUGGAGGCACACUGCUUUUGCGUACAGCACAGCUUUGGUGGAACCUCUCAGUUCCUUCGCUGUUGCGCUUGUUGUGUCUUGCUCAACAAGCUGAGUGAGACAAUCCCACAUCUCUGUUGCAGUGACUAUUGUUCUGUAAAAGCUUCAGGCUCUACUCACAGACCCUAGAAAUGUCUUCGCGAACUCCCAUUUGAGAAUCACUGCCCUGUGUAACACACCAAACUUGUUGUAAUCUCGAUGAUAUGAUCACGGAUGGUACGAAUUUCGGGUUGAUACAUUAUUAAUUUUGGGUUCCGGCCGUAGUGCCUAUUCUUUCCAUGUAUUACAGUUCUGAAGUCGGCCCAGGAUGCAUACCAACCCCCUUCUUUCCCCACUCCUUCCUGCUGUCCUCGCUCCAUACGCCCAUGUCUAUACGCUGCUUAUAACCACAGUUGAUUCGCGGCACUUACGAGGAACAAAAAAAGAAAACUGCUGACCUCUAUUUACUGAUUGAUACCCUCAAGGCAAAGCACUACAGAAGGGAGUGGUGAGCACAUAGAAUACGCUGAAACAUGUUAGUGUCUGUGCUAAAUAGUGGCACAGGAAGAUGGUUUCAAUCCACACUUGUCUGAGCUAUAAACGAAGAGAAAUAUGGGUUUCUCCUGCAAUGGGGGAUGGCAACUUUGUAAUGAUGGUCAAUGCCAGAUGAAGUUUACGAUGGGGGUAUUAGAAGCUGUUGCUUUAGGACAUGGUUAUGAAAGUAUGUAGAGUGGAAAAGACACAGCCUCCAGUGUUUGCGGCAUAAAGCAAGUGGUUCGAAUGAUAAUGAGGAUUUCAUGGAUGAGGUGCUCGUUGUUUGGUGAAAGAAUAAAUUGAGCUGCGUGGCUCUGAACAUUUUCUAGCUGAUCGAUUAGUGAGGUAUGACUGGGAUCCCAGACGGCAGAGGCGUAUUCUAAUUUUGGUCGGAUUAAUGCCUCGAAGAGGGGGAGCUUUAUGUCCAUAGGGGCCACGUAGAAGUUUCGCCUGAUGUAACCAAGUGUACGAUUAGCAUUGUUGACAAUGUACUGAACGUACUGUCUUUCCAAGAAAGGUCAGGAGUUAUCAUUACACCCAAAUUUUGUAGGUGCUUACGGUUUCAACAGUAAUGUGAUUUAUGAGGUAAGAGCAAUUAGUCAGAGCUGAGAGAGAGUAUUCAAAGUCCUUUUAUUCAAGAGCACGUAUAAGGAAAUCAGUAGAGGUGUGCGAAUGUUCGAAAUUUGGAAUACGACUCGAAUAUUUUCAAUGUUCGAAUCGUAUUCGUAUUCGGGAAUUGAUAUUCGAAAGUUUCGAAUAACCGACUUUUUUUCGCUUUCGAAAGUCCACAGCCGUCCAUUUGGCAGCAAUGUUGUUGAGAGCACCAUCGGCAUCAUCAUGAUCGAGCCGACAGCCGAGCCAUACCAAGCCUCUGGCUAUACCGGAUAGGCUGCGUUGUGUGCGUUUGCGUCCUUGUGCGUCUCUCCUGGCGCCAACGGCUUCGUAGUUUCGGUUUUGGGAGUGACUUUUACUGCUUUUAUCGCGAGUUCCACACUCUUUGUGAGGUUGGUGCAUUGCCAGCAUGGAUGAUAUUGAAUGUGACGGUGGCAACAAUCAAAGAAGCUCUGGAAGGAGCGGGAUCUGGCAAUACUUCGACAAAAUCCGCCACUCGCGGAGAAACUGGCGCCGUCUGUUGGACGCGGAAAGAACUAUAGGGCUUCCUUCGUUCGAGAGUGUUUGGUUAGAACGCUCUUGAAAUAUCGCUGUGGUUUCGCUUGUUUCUUGCCGUCUGUCUGACUGUUUCUUUGAGUGUUUGUCGGUCAGAUUGAGAAGAGUGAGAAUUUCUGUCCAUGAUCGAGAAGGAUGGCAUCCCGUUUCUGUUCUUGGAGUUCGGGUGGACAGUAUUUUUUUAGCAUGCUCUCAUCCCAGAAGUUCUCACCAAACGCAUCCGCCGCCUGGGAACCUUGGGGAAUUAUAUCCCGUACAAAAAGUAUAUAAAUGGGUACUAUGUCGUAGACAGUAUCAGGGAGCUGAAGAUCCGUCUAAGGAGGGUCCAGUCGUGAAGCACAAAAUGAAUGUAUAUAUUGUAACUUAUAGUGUAUACAGUGUAUAGUGUAUACAGUGAAAUGUAUAACAUUUCCCCAUGCGGUUCUCAUAACUGAGUCAUUUUUAUUACUUUGUUCAUGAUAAGGUCACUUCAUAGAUUACCGUAUUUUCACGCGUACUAGCCGCAGCUUAUGCGCGUUUUUUUUUCGCGGACGCUCUGCGGCUUAUCCAUGGGUGCAACUUAUCUGAUAGCUAUUUUUUCCUGGUAUUUUCGCCAUACGCCAGAUUAAACGAAAGGGCCCACAGUGCCUCAUGUUCUUCGGAACAGGACCGCCCUGCCAGUGCACUAACAAUACCAAACAGGGGAGGGUCCACAUUCGAGUAGACUGACCUUCCGAAUACAUUCCCCAACGCAGGUUUAACAAAAGCGGUGACAGUGAUUAAUGUCUCCUGGAACACCACUAACUCGUCAAUCCACAAAAAACACGCAACAAGGGCACAAUCCGAUCCUAGUAGAACACUAGAACUGACCUCCUUUGUUAAACAUCAUGACGACACCGGAAUGUGGACCACAGGGUUUAUGGCCUUCCUUCCCUACGGUCUCCUUUAUCGGCUGACCCACAGGAAGGGUUCAAUACACCUGACAUCGGGAUAAAACGUGGUCAGCUAAGCGUCAGUUCUCAUUUGACCUGAGCAGCAGCAUUCGUGGACACGGGCACGGCAGUUAGAGGUAAAGCAUGGCUCCAUCGCGGAGGCGCAGCUACGACAGCGGCUUCAAACUAAAAGUCGUCAGCGUCGCGGAACAGUACGGGAACAGGGCAGCUGGCAGGGAGUACGGCGUCGACGAGCGUUGAGAGUCUCUAUUGAUUUUGUUUGCGCAUCACUGGUUUAGCGCACAAAGCAGUCGCGUUGUAGUACCCGCGGCUUAUCUGUGAGUGCGGCUUAUCUGCAAAAACAUUUUCAAAAUGUAUCUAAAAACGAGUCCUGCGGCUUAUCUGCGGUGCGGCUAAUACGCGUGAAAAUAUGGUACCUUAUGAUAAUACGAUAAUACAUGCACAUUUGUUUAAUACCUUCCCUGUGUCGUGUUAGGCCUCAUUUAUAAAGGGCAUUUGGAAAUUACCAAGGUAGCAGCAUACAUAAAAUAUGUGCUCAGCAAUGUCCACCAUGCUGAUGGGAAAGGCCCGAUCAAGAAUGUGAAAUUCUUUCACACGUCGGAUCACACGUUCAACGUGCACUCUUUCACUGGCAAUUUCUCUUGUACUUUGAACACUGCUCUUGGAUAUCUGCGCUUCUCCUUUCACCCUAAAGGGUGGAUUGUACACAUCAAUGCCUUGAGGGAGACACGGAACAUUGAAGCCCUUAUCCACCAUUAUGGCAUCACCCUCUUCGAGGCGAUCUAACAAUCCUCCACUCUGCACCAUAUCCAAAAGCCCGGGAACCCCAAAGCCAGGAAACAAAGCUGAUAUAACCGCCCGGGGUGCAGACAACAACUGUUUUGUAGGUGUUGUAAUGUUUGUAACGCGAGAAAGUUUGUCUCUGUGCAUUUAGUGAGGGUGGCCUCCGGAUUCUGACUUCAGUCGCAUCGAGUACUAAUCUUGUGUUGGGAAGCUUGCGAAAAGCUUUGGGCAAAUUCGUUUGUGUUUCCUGGACGGUUGUAAAAUGCUGUCAUGUCUCACAAUUCUUCCUGUCUUUUCAUAGCCCAAACCCAUCGAACCCGUUUUUGAGGAUAUAACAUAUCACACGGAAACCUAAAAAAAAGAAUGUAACUUCUUGCCCUGCACAUAAUAAUUCAUACAGCCAUAAGAGACGCAAUUCACAGGCAAUGCUUACAGCAGCGGUGAAAUCGCGUCUGUUUUCCAGCCAGUUCGAAACCCUACAGGAAGCACGAGGGAGAGGGGGAUGUGUGCAUGCGCCGUGUUUUUUCCGCAAGUGGCGGAUUUCCUCUGAUGUGGCGUCGUGCAAGACGUGCGAUCGCCGCUUCAAAACUCCAACUGGAACGACGACACCGCUUCAAAAUCACUUGAAACUUCAUCCACAACUGUUCGCUGAGUAUAAACAUUUUAAAAACGAGCAGAAAGUGUCGCAGCAGCCAACACUUGUGCAAAUAGCCGCAAAACGUGCGCCUUUAGAGAGGAAGAAAGAGGAAGCACUGACUACCAAGAUUGCAGAGAUUAUCGCACUGGACAUGCAGCCUUACAGCGUUGUGGAAGACCACGGUUUCACUGCACUGAUGAAGGAAGCCAUUCCGAACUAUGCCUUACCGUCAAGAAUGACACUUUCGCGUGUGACGGUUCCACACCUUUACCACGACACGCGACGCAAAGUUCAACCAGAGCUGUCUGCUGCGUUUGAAACUGGAACCUCAGCAUGUACAUUCACAUGUGACAUGUGGACAUCAAACGCGAACCAUUCGUACAUGAGUCUAACCUGUCACUUCAUGACGACUGGGUUUGAGCUAAAACGGUACACCCUAGCAACAGGAGAGGGGGGCGGAGUCACGGGAGGGGGGCGUGGUCGCUCCAUAAUGAGCCAAUGAGAGCGCGCCAUGGGCAGCGGGCACUCUGGCAGCGGCCAGAGGAGGAAUGCGAUGUAGUGGGCGAAGGCACGCUGGGGGCUUUGGACACUUGACUUCCGGAAGUGUGGUGGUGCUGGGGAUGAUAUGCAAUGCCAAGAGAAGUUGCGGUGGCGCUGUAGGCGAGCGUGGUGUUGAACGAAGGAUCGUGGUAUGAUUUACCUGUUAAGAUCGCAUGCGCCUGCUCAGUGUCGCCAUCGGACAGAUCGUUUAUCUGGAUUCUUUUGACCGUGCCUGCUGUAAUUUACGGACGUACGGCUUCAUGAAGUGAAAACUGCUGUGACUUGUAAUUUUUCUCUCUUUUUUUAACCGCGAUAUCGGCGCGUGUAAUUUACUUUACGGGUGAACGGUUUCACAGGAAGCGUAUAACGUGUUGUCGCGACUUUUUCGCCUUGUUUGUAUUGUAAUAUUCAUGAGCUCUCUGACUGCUCGACAAUAAGUAGGCAAGAACAAAGUGUCAGUGAUUGUGGGUUUUAGCUUAUGUACAGGUAACAUCAUUUAUGACAAGGCAGAGAAUCCAAGCACAAUAAAUCAACACUGUAUGUAACAACAAUAACCAAAACUACCUACAGGUAAAUAAACCAAAAGCAUGCACUGUUCGAAAUCAUGAAUGAAUCAUUUUGAGUGCCAAUCAGGAGUCAUCUUUCAUUUCAUUGUACUCAUUUCUGUGUGUGUAUAUAUAUACACUCUGCUCCUGCAUAAAACCCUGCCACAACUUUUGGAUGUAAGCGAUGCGUUGUCUACCGCUGUGUGCCAUUGCGAUAAAUCUCAGCACGCAUACACACACUGAAAAGCGACAGACUCAGUGCAAAACAGGACAUGAGGAUUGGAAGCAGCCAUAUAUGGCGUUGAUACUUUGUUGAAACAAUUUUAUGGCUUUUAGUGAAAGCGAUACGCUUUCUACCACUUUGUACCGUUGCGAAUAUAAAUCUUGGCACACAUUAGAUACACACACUGAAAAGCGACAGACUCAGUGCAAAACAGGGCAUGAUGACUGGAAGCAGACAUAUGUGGUUGAUACUUUGUAGCAACAAUUUUGUGGCUUAAAGCGAUACGCUUCCUACCGCUUUGUACCGUUGCGAAUAUAAAUCUUGGCACCUCACAUUUCAUACACACACUGAAAAGCGACAGACUCCACCCAGCAGAAGCAGGCCCUAUCGAAUACAUGAGCAGCCUGAUUGCAGUGGCGAUGGGUCAGGGGAGCGCAAUGGCUGAAGUAUCGGUUUCGAUAUCCAGUGAUGCAGGCCUCACAAAAUAAUGUCUCAUGCUGUCCCUUUCACUUGUCCAAGUUAGUUACUAAUUAGGAAGUGAAAUACACUUUCUUAUCUCGUAACUGCCACGAUUUAUGUUCUCAGAGUUGUAUGUUUAUUAUGUAUAUUUGUGUUCUCAGAUUCACGGCUCUCAUAAUUGCAUCUGCAGACGUUAGAUAUAAUUGUCCGCAUAGUAAAAUCGUAUUUCAGGUGCGGGAUCUCGAUUAUGAGUCUGGCCUCUCUUUCUUUCCUCUCUCUCUCUUCCUUCACUGCUUUAGCUAUAGCAAACAGACUAGCAGACUUUUACCAAACUAAAUUCCAAAAGCAUAUGAGACAGAAAAAAAGAAUGACGGUUCAAUGAAAUGGCUGAACUCGACACUGAGUCAAAAGGACGUGUUGGUGACUUUAGUUACGUCUUUCUUUCGGCAGUUGUAGGCUUCGUUCUGUCAUCAUCAUCACCAUCACUAUGUACGCGAAUUUUGUCGCCCCGGCAACCUGAAAAUAACGGCCAGUCCCCGAGCAGGUUGUAACAGGGUGCAUACGAUGAGUGAACAUAGGGAGUACAGUAUAUGCUACCGUAACGUUGCACCUGAAAUGCAGAUCUGAAACACGCAGUGUUGAGGUGAACGAGUGCUGUGUCGGCAACAAAAAAGCACACAUAUGUGUUGUUUCAGAAUGCCUGCUUUUAAGUUACCCUUGGCAAUCUGCUCAAAAUGCACUUUCCUGAAUCCAUUCGAAUCUAUAUCUUGCGCUAUUGCGGAACUCAACCUGAAUCGGUCUCGGUGGCUCAGUUGGUAGCGUGUUCGCCUUCUGAUCCCGAGAUUGCGGGUUCGAACCCGGCCGAGUUAGCCAGCAACUUGGUGGCAGCGUACAAGUUGUAUAAACACUCCGUCUUCCGCGAGGGACGUUAAAUACGGGGUGCUGUGUGGUGAGCUUUCAUUGCACGUUAAAGAACCUUCAGGUGGGCAAAAGCAAUCCACAAACCGACCGCUGUGGCGUCGCUCAUGAUCUCAGUUGUCUCGCGAUGUAAACCCCAAUUAUUAUUACUAUUAUUAUUAUCAACCUGAACCGCGAACCAAUGUACCCGAACCCGAACCGAAAAAAUAACAGUUCUGAUCCCUGCCCACGUGAGCGAAUUGGUGUCCGUCCAUCUCAUCGAACACAGUUUCAUUAAGUGCCGUUUCAUUACAUGCUGCUUCAGUCAACACGUCACCAUGUGACCCCUAAAAGACAUGCAUUUGUCAAGGUUGCAGCGCUUUGAAUGCGAUCUGUUGCCCGCACUUCCAAUGACACUUCUGUUAAAGUAUAGGGGAAAAUAAAAUUGAUAAUACGGCGCUCCAUGAAUAGACCCAGCUGUCCCAGUGCAAUUACCUAUCCAGUGUAAAACGGCGAUAAAACCGGAGACACGGAACAAAAAAGCCGACACGACACGUUCUCUUUUUUGUUCCGUGUCUCCGGUUUUAUCGUCGUUUUACAAUGUACCAGCUCGCCUGCACCCUUGCACUUCUACCAUUACCUAUCCAGUGAACUAAAGAAAACAAUGGCUGAGGAGUUAAAAUGACAAAACUGUAGCAGUCGCAUGUCACAUGCGUCACUCUUACUGCACUCUCCUACACUUUCGCGCGCGCAAACAGCACAAGUUCUGCGAGGACAUCGCAUCUCUUUGUGGGGAUAUAGUUCCGUAGCCGGGCUUAUGGCUUUUUUAAACAAACGAAAGUAGAUAUCAAAUAACAGAUGAUUUUACCAGAAAGAUGAGAAAAUUACAGAUGAAAUCAAACAAAAAUCAACGUCUUAUAACGUACCAAACAUACAAAAAUUAAAUUUUAUCGCUCGUUUCUUCGAGGCAAUCCGCCAUCUUGGCUGAGGACCUCCUGACCUAACCCGACCUGCCUAGUGCGUGACUAGGGGGGGACUUCCCCAGACCCCCCCAAUCUGUAGAACCUAACCACGACCUACUGGGACAAAAUGGCUAGCAAGCAAGCGAGCUGGUUAAGAUGACGCAUAAUGUAAAAACCCCGAGACUAGGGAACACGAAGACUUGAGCCCUUGAGACUUCGUGUUGUGUCUGUCCCUUUGUGUUCCCUAGUCUCGGGGUUUUUACAUUAUGCACGACCUACUAGGUUAUAACGACCAUGUCACAAUCAGCAACCCCUAUGAGGAGCCUGUCUACACGAUCUGCCAGGGGUGCUACUCAUCGGCACGCCACGAUUGGACGAUGGAAAUUUGAAUUCUGAAUGUGCGGAAGUGUAUGUACGACUACCGUAGCAUACGACAGCGAUAGCUCCAAUGAAAACACGUAGAAUGAUGAUGAUAAUCAACCUCAGAAUAAAACAUCCGUGGAACGUUCACCGCUUGUACAGAAAUGCUAAUGUAAGCUGAAGUACAAAGUAUUGUAGAAGUUGAGGAAGCAAUAACUGGGAUGAUGGGAAGUGCCACCGCUAGCUUCCAAAAAUGCGGGGCUGGGAAGGGGUACGCUCGACAUGAUCGUUAUAAUCUAGUAGGUCGUGAACCUAACUUGACCUAACCUCACUAAAGUGAGGUGAUUUAGCCCAUUUCAACGACCCUACCUUUCGCAAGAUGGUAAGUUUAGAAUUCGUUAGGUUUAGCACUCCCGUGUUUCUCCAGCGCUAGAAGUGCAUCAGAUGGGGUUGUUCAGAUGCAUAUAAAAAACUUCUAGACCACACAUUCUUGUAAUUCUUGUUUUUUUAUAUUUGCUAUAUAGUCUUCUCUCACUUCAGUACAUUAUUUCGCUUUUGAACACUCCGGCUAAUUCGAAAAAGAUAUAAGCCCGUCUACGGAACUACACCCUCUUUGUGUAACUAUGAACAACGCGAAAAAGUCGUCAAACGCUUUAUUCCGUGAAUGCGUGCUUCCGUAAAAUACACGCAUGGAUAUCACGGUCAAAGAAAAAAAAGAUGUAAUCACAAAUCACAACGACCAGCAGUCUUCACUUCAUGAAACCGUACCUCCAUGAAUUACAGGUGCAGAUAUCAUGGUCAAAGGGGAAAAGUCUUCACAAGUCACAGCAGUUUUCACUUCAUGAAGCCGACACGCACGGUCAAAACGAUCAGUCCGAUAGCGACGCUGAGCGCCUGUCAAACAGACUCACGCGAUCUUACGGGUAAAUUAUACCACAAUCCUUCGUUCAACACCACACUAAGGAGCCUCCAUCUGCGUCCCCUUUUCACGGAGGCAACAACUCCGUCGUCUGCUACAAGCGCGGGCAUCUUGACUCCCACAUUUGAUUGGGCGUUUUCUCGAUUUUUCACGACAGGAAGGGGGUGAAAGCAGAAUGAAGGAUACUAGCGUAGCAAAACUGUCAAAUAUGCUAGUAGAGCUGGUCAUGGGUUGUAAAAUAUGUUGCUAAUGCUUUGUAACGUUCGUCUAAACUCGUCACUGCACCUGGACACGCGGUCGCGUCCCGACAAGCGAAUUACAAUAGUAAACAUGGGAACGUGUAUAAACAACAGAAAUAUGUUAAUUGCAAGCAGAUUUUAUUAUAACAUCUCACUCAAGUGCAACGCCAGCUGCCGUUGUGCUUGAAAACAACGUUGUUUUACCGACAUGCUCCUAUCGAAACUGCACCCUUAAUUGCAGUUGUACAAAUUUGUCCACGAUUACAUGACAUAGUUCUUCUUUGUGUUGGUUACAAGUCGGAAGAUUAUUGUCCACGUUAUUAUGAAUAAAAGACGAAUGCCACUUCACGUUUGUACGAAGAAACAUGUAGCACAUUUCUCACGCUGCCCGAAAUAUACAGAGGAUUCAUUGCACCACGUAUGUGUUCACGAAGCUCAAUGAGCUUGUUGUGGCUUUGCGGAGAUUUAACGCAAUUUAAUUUACUUUAACGUAAAUGACCACUGAGCUACCAGAAUACACGGUACACACUGCACGUUGCAAAGGUGCUUGCUUACUUCGCACACGCACCAGCUCCUUGUUGGUUCCCAUUCUGCUUUCUUUACUUGCACGAGCGAAACAUCUUUCCGCUUUUUUAGAUGCUGGGAAGCGAUACAAACGCACACCUUUCCGAGAGUGAUUGGCACACUUGUGCACACGGCACCCUGGCAUUUCGCUGCAUGCCGUAUCAUGCGAGUAACGCGCUCUGCAGAUCUCCACGCACGCUUGUCUUCGUUCACCAACGAAUGUAUUUGCUCAAUCAAGUAGGGACAAACAAGAGAGAACGCUGGUUCGCGACCUAGCUCUUUAGGCGACAGAUCAACGACCCCAUGCCAACCAUACGGAGAUGAACUGAGCCCUAGCAGUGGUUCAUAGAAAUAAAGAAAAGAAAGAAGGAGCUCUUUCAUGCGUAAAUUCCGAUGAAAAAAGAACUGUGACCCGAACGUGGUACAUGCAGAAAAAAAUCUCUGGAACUCUGGUAUUACCCGAGAAAAUGACUCGUGGAAGGACCGAUUUCAGCUGUCACAGAGGAAGUUCUGACACGCUUGUUGCACGCUGGAUUUAAAAUUCCGGAGGGAUGAGUUGCGAUAUUUGUUCCCAAAACGUACAAUUAUGCUAAGACACCGAAGAAAUGCAAUCACUUGCGUGUAUAUGUGCCGGAUGGCCGCUCGAACGCGCAAAAUGCACAGCCGGCAAUGCGCAGCAAGUUGGGAGUCAAAAUGCGGGCUCCGCAUAAGGGCGAGGAGGAAAGGCGGCGUUGGCACGGUUAAAGGAGCUCUGAAAGCCAUCUCAAAAAUUUUCCGGUCCGAACGCGUUGUGGAAGUAGGUAACUUAACUUGAUGACUAACACGAAAAUUUUCUCUGUGCGCGAUGUUUUUCAUAGAAAAAAAGACACUUGAACAUCGCCGCGCGCGUUCCCACUCGACUCGCUCCUCCGGGUCAAACGAGGAUGAGAAGGAAAAAACGUCAUUCGUGACGUAAUAAAAGUCGAAAGCGGCGACCGCUCUUCCGCGCUUCUAUCUGGGUCAGUUCUACCCGGUUUUCUUUCUUUUCGUUUUCCUUGCUUUCUCCCUGUCGUGAACGAUGGGGGAUUUCGAAGUGCCUGCGGAAUAUCGGCACUUGAUGCCACUAUCUGAAUGGGAAAUUCGAACUCUGCAGAGGUGCAAAAUAAUGAACUGUACGCCGUAUGGCGAUACGCCUUACAUGACGCCAGGCGCAAACUUAGCUGGCGUCGUCGGUAACCAUGUGGCAGCCAAGAGAAAGCGACGGGACAGCUCGGAUGAUUGGUAAGUUGACCGUAGUUGCGGUACUUUAUGACAUUGCUUAACUGUGUUGAUCUCUGCAACAGGUGCACAUGUGGAGUGUGCCGAUCAAUGCAAACACGGCGCGAGGACGUCUGCUGCCGCAACGUGCCAGCAGCUGUCGAAAAGAAGCCGGAGGGCUGUGUCACAACGGCGUCGGAGUUCCAAGCGUCGUGCUUGACCGACGUCGUUAUACGGCUAGCCCUCCAAUCACUUGAAAAUCAGGGUGUGUUCAUGAACACGCCGCUUCACGAGAGGUACCGCUAUGUUGCCUACCGGCAGUGUGCAUCCUGGCUCUGGGGGCACCUUGGCGAAGGGAACCGUCAUGUGCUGCCAUCAUGUGUUGUGUGGGCAAUUCGGGAAAAGUUCCCUUCAACGUACUACACUGGAUUUAGACCUACACUGUAGAGAUAAAAUUGAUGUACCGUAACUAUUUUCAAUACAUACUUUUGUGGA